rnacentral:rRNA from 1 species
CCUACGGGUGGCAGCAGUCGAGAAUCAUUCACAAUGGGGGAAACCCUGAUGGUGCGACGCCGCGUGGGGGAAUGCAGGUCUUCGGAUUGUAAACCCCUGUCAUGUGGGAGCAAAUUAAAAAGAUAGUACCACAAGAGGAAGCGACGGCGAACACUGUGCCAGCAGCCGCGGGAAUACAGAGGUCUCAAGCGUUGUUCGGAAUCACUGGGCGUAAAGCGUGCGUAGGCUGUUUCGUAAGUCGCGUGGGAAAGGCGCGGGCUCAACCCGCGGAAGGCACAUGAGACUGCGAGACUAGAGUAAUGGAGGGGUAACCGGAAUUCUCGGUGUAGCAGUGAAAUGCGUAGAUAUCGAGUGGAACACUCGUGGCGAAGGCGGGUUCCUGGACAUUAACGGACGCUGAGGCACGAAGGCCAGGGGAACGAAAGGGAUUAGAUACCCCAGUAGUC